rnacentral:lncRNA from 1 species
CGGGGUGCGUCGGGCGUAGUGGGUGUGCCUCCACCGACAGCGUUCAUAUUUGUUUUCUUCUGUUCUUGGUAAGGUUGCUUGUGUUUGAUCGCCUCAUAGAAGAAGUAGUACAGGUCGUGGACUUGAUUCUAUCCUGUGCUUCACUCCUUUUCUUCUCGGUUCUUGGUGUUCCUAGUAAAGCAAUUGUUUUGUGCAAGAAUAAAAUCAAACUGAAUCACCUUGUUUGACACCGAUUUCUCUUUCUCGAGGCCAGCGAUGUGUAUGGCGUCCCUUAUUGAAGGUCCCCGGAGUUGCUUGGUGCCGUUCGUCGCUUGAUGCCGAUGGGUAGUGCAGAAGCGAGCGCGGCGCGUGAGGGUGGCCUCGCCGGGCGCAAGAAUGGCGCUGAGGGCCGUCGGGCGCUCCGUGGUGUGCCACGGAUGCAAUAUGAGAACUCCGUCGCCGGACGAGCGUCGCGCGUCGGCCGUUUUGCCUCCAGAUGCGGGAGAAGAUCCCUUGGCGCCUCGCCGCUGUUACGCCGCCUCCCUAUCACUUUCUUCUCGCUUUCUAUGGCCAAAUCGCUCUCGGUUACGAGCGUGCUAAUAACGUGUUGAAUGUAAAAGUGAUUGAAUUAAGGAAAGGCUCCUGAUUUCAUUGAAUCUCAAGAUAUAUAUACACUCCGAAGAGGCGCCUUGUAGAGGCGGUAGUUACAAUAGAUAUGGGAAGGAAAAGAACGCCUUGUAGAGGCGGUAGUUACAAUAGAUAUGGGAAGGAAAAGAACGCGUCCGUACGGACACAUGCGUCCGUACGAGGCGUCUGUUCGGUGUUGGACACACCUAUUCAACUAAUGACGGUUUGUUAAUUAACCUGUGUUAAUUAACUAACAUGUAAAAUCU